AGGAUGAACGCUGGCGGCGUGCCUAACACAUGCAAGUCGAGCGAUGAGGCUCCCUUCGGGGGGUACAUCAGCGGCGAACGGGUGAGUAACACGUGGGUGACCUUCCCCAAAGACGGGGAUAACUCUUGGAAACAGGGGCUAAUACCCGAUGUGCUCAGCAGUUCACUCUGUUGAGUAAAGCUAUGGCGCUUUGGGAUGGGCCCGCGGCCCAUCAGCUAGUUGGUAGGGUAAAGGCCUACCAAGGCUAAGACGGGUAGGGGGCGUGAGAGCGCGAUCCCCCACACUGGCACUGAGACACGGGCCAGACUCCUACGGGAGGCAGCAGUGAGGAAUAUUGCGCAAUGGACGAAAGUCUGACGCAGCGACGCCGCGUGGGCGAUGAAGGCCUUCGGGUCGUAAAGCCCUUUUCUGGGGGAAGAGAAAGGACGGUACCCCAGGAAUAAGCCCCGGCUAACUACGUGCCAGCAGCCGCGGUAAAACGUAAGGGGCAAGCGUUAUCCGGAUUUACUGGGCGUAAAGAGCGUUGCAGCGGUAUUGUAAGUUGGGCGUGAAAGCCCUGGGCUUAACUCAGGGAAGCCGUUCAAUACUGCGAAACCUUGAGGGCAGCAGACGGAGGUGGAAUUCCCGGAGUAGCG
rnacentral:rRNA from 1 species